UGGUGGGUAGUUUGACUGGGGCGGUCUCCUCCUAAAGAGUAACGGAGGAGCACGAAGGUUGGCUAAUCCUGGUCGGACAUCAGGAGGUUAGUGCAAUGGCAUAAGCCAGCUUGACUGCGAGCGUGACGGCGCGAGCAGGUGCGAAAGCAGGUCAUAGUGAUCCGGUGGUUCUGAAUGGAAGGGCCAUCGCUCAACGGAUAAAAGGUACUCCGGGGAUAACAGGCUGAUACCGCCCAAGAGUUCAUAUCGACGGCGGUGUUUGGCACCUCGAUGUCGGCUCAUCACAUCCUGGGGCUGAAGUAGGUCCCAAGGGUAUGGCUGUUCGCCAUUUAAAGUGGUACGCGAGCUGGGUUUAGAACGUCGUGAGACAGUUCGGUCCCUAUCUGCCGUGGGCGCUGGAGAACUGAGGGGGGCUGCUCCUAGUACGAGAGGACCGGAGUGGACGCAUCACUGGUGUUCGGGUUGUCAUGCCAAUGGCACUGCCCGGUAGCUAAAUGCGGAAGAGAUAAGUGCUGAAAGCAUCUAAGCACGAAACUUGCCCCGAGAUGAGUUCUCCCUGACUCCCUGAGAGUCCUGAAGGAACGUUGAAGACGACGACGUUGAUAGGCCGGGUGUGUAAGCGCAGCGAUGCGUUGAGCUAACCGGUACUAAUGAACCGUGAGGCUUAACCUUACAACGCCGAAG
rnacentral:rRNA from 1 species